rnacentral:lncRNA from 1 species
CAAACUUGCAAAUAUUAAAACCUAUUCAUGUCUAAUACUUUUCUACUUGGUCUAUUUCCAUGUCCUGUCAAUGACCUAUCAAUUACCCUAUUCAAUUACCCAUGUCACUUGAGAUUUCUCCCACCAGAAUUUAGGUUGCAUAUUUUCACAGGGCAAUUUAUUUUAAAAUCAGAAUGGUCCAUAAAACUAAUAGCUUUGUGUGCACAGACCUAAAAGAUUUGUAGUAGCUCUGCAGCUGCAUUUUUGAACAUCAAUAGUUAAACGAUCAACAUAAAUGUUAAAGAAGUAAAUUAACUUUCAGAAUUUCACGUGUGCUCUAGCAUUCACCAUUGACCAUGCUGGAAGAAGACUUUGAGGUCAUUUCAUCCAACCCUCUCAUUUUACAGAUGAGGAAAACAGGACUAAUUGAUAGCUAGCAAUACUAAAUUAUAGCUCUUCUAAAACUAGACAGCAGCGUCAGUAGGCUUCUUCAUGUGCUCAAUUACUGUAUGGAUUCCACGAGUUGAUGAGCGUGCUGUGACCUUGAGCAUUUACAUUCUGUGGUUUUCAAAUGUUUAUGUUUCUAAUGUGGUAUUUGUAAACCUGGGCCCCAGUAACCUUUACCACUGAGGCUUUGCCAAUCCCAACUCUGGGCAGCCCACCUCUUCCAUAUGCAGCAGUGCUUGCAGGCUGUUCCGCCUGGGCAAAGUCAUGUUAGGUGUAAGCAAAGACGUGAACUAGUGUUCAUGCUUGAAAACCUCACAGAGACCUGCCUGCUGGCUGAAUCCUUUCUUCAUCUCUUGUUGCCUCUCCUACAUGUGACUCAAAAGCUAGCCAAGUUUGUUCCACAUCCUUCAGCUUGUUCCUCUUACACCAAAGUGCCAUACCAUCAUCCCCUUUAGUAAGAUCACACUUCUCCAAUUUCUGUCCUCCUCUACUCCUCAAUAAACAGGAAGAUGCUGUCUGUGGAAAAUGCACGUGGAGCUCUUGCACACGUUUUCUAUAACUUGUCUUCCUUCCACUUCCCCACAACUAGAAUAUAAGCCUCAUGAGAGCAAAUGCCUUGUCUGGACUGUUAUCUCCCCUGUGUCUAGUAUAGUCAAAAAUAGUAGGUGAUGGGUAAAUACAUGUGCAAUAAAUAUAUCCUUUCAUCUUUCCUUCCUAUCUUAGGGAAACAAAUGUCCCUUUCUUUUCUGUCUUACCUCCCUAAUAACAUCAGUACUUCUUUGUCCCUCCUCCAAUAUUGACCUCUGAAUCACGUCCUCCUUCUUGAAAUCUUGCCUUCUUAAUUGUCUGCUUUUAUUAAUUUACAUAGGUGUCCAGCCAUCUGGCUGGCCUUUCUCCAGUUCUUUUGCUGGAAAAUCCUCUCCUCUUCUCUUUAAUACAGGCAGCCUCUAAGAUUGCCCCUUCAGUUGCUUUCUUCCCUUGGUAUUUUUCUUUUUUUUGCAGUUCUCAUUGACUCAUAUCUGGUCAACUUUUACCUCUAGGUACAAUGAUUCUUCAAUUUCCACCUCCAGCCCCAAAUUUAAUUCCUAGAUAUGGACAUGCUUGGAGCCAACACCACCAUGUCACCUCAAUACACUCUGCUUUUCAUCCAAAUCUUCCUUUCCAUCCAGGCAGCAAACUCCAGAGUCCUUUCCACUCCUGUUCAACCUUUCUACUUCACAUAUGACAGGUGUGUGAAUUUUACCUGGUGGCAAACCAACGUGGUGAUUCUCUUGAAUUCAUGUAUUACUUAGACAAAUUCAACAGCCUCCUAAAUGAUCUCCUUCUAGCUGCUCUCCUCCCUCUCCAUCUGUCUUGCUAGAUGAGCCUGGCUUCUUUUUUCCUGCAGAAAGAUCAAACUUUUCAGUUUAACCCGCAUCACCUUUUAAAAUUCAUUGCCAGUGUAGUUCCCAAUAUGGCCUCAUACUAACUUCAGAUACCCCAGUGUAUCUGAAGAAAGUAAUCCCAGCUACUUGGGAGGCUGAGGCAUGAGAAUUGCUUGAACCGGGGAGGCAGAGGUUGCAGUGAGCCAAGAUCACUCCACUGCACUCCAGCCUGGGCGACAGACCGAAACUCCGUC